rnacentral:lncRNA from 10 species
CAAGAACCAAUGUGAAUCUUAGAACUACUUAGAUUUUUUUUUUUUUUACCCUUUUUUUUUUCUAUAAGAAAACCAGUUACCGCUAUAUAAGGUAACAGGCUGAUCCUGCGUGGCUGGAUGCGAGGGAAGUCUCCACUUGGGGAUACAGCUACUAUCUUAUUAAGGAAGUGGGUGGGGUUUAUACAUGUAGCAGCUGUGGAAAUGGGGAGAUCUCCAAGUGCAAGGUAACCCAAAGUCAAGAGUAGAGUUUUGUAGUCCAGCCCCUGCCACCACAUGGAAAUUCUCCUCCACUACCGGCCUUUGGAGAGGAGUCAAGCUAAGCCAAAGGAGAGUUGAACUCAAGGGCAAAACCCUUAAGGCCAAUCUCCAUGUACAGAGGGGAAAUUGACCCUGUUUGAGCUACUGAGCCCGCUGGAAGAAAUUCAGCCGGAGCCGCAGAAGCCGCAACGCAUAUGGGCAAGAUCCCCUAAAACUUGGUCUGGAAAGCUGAUUCCCGAAGGUUCCCCAACCCAGAUGAUUCCCAGAGGGGCGACAAGUCUAUUCCAAAUCCCUCCCCCACCUCCAAACACUAGGGCUACCGGCGCCCGCCACCCAGCCGCUGGACGCCUGCGACCCGGUGGGAAAGACCCCCGGCACAGCCAGCCCGAGUCGAAGGGCGGGGGCAGCCCUUCAAUCAGAGCGCGCCUUGCCUCCAUUAACUUGUGUUGAUAUUAAAAAGAAAUCAAUCAGUGAAAAUGAAGCA